GCGCGCUUCCCGGUCGGCUCCAUGGCGGCUCCUGGGCAGAAAGGAGAUAGGGAGGUGAGGGAGAAAGAAGGGACAAUGAUGAGCUCCAGACAGAAAAGCUACAAGAUCUUGGAAGCACAAUCAUUGAGUUAUGGAGUCAAAUGGACACACCAUUAGAUGAACAGAAAUGCUUUGAUCAUGUUACUUCUUUGAUUUCAAACUCACAAAAUACAGUGAUGCCCCAAGGAUGCCUUGCACAUGACCUUAUUAAGAAGGUAGAGGUUGAAGUCAAGAGACUGAAGAAUUUGAAAGCUAGCAAAAUGAAAGAGCUUGUCUUAAAGAAAAUUACUGAGCUUGAAGAAAUCUACAAAAGUGUUCACAUGUAUAUUGACAGAGUGACAGAUUCUCACUGAACUUAUUGAUUCUGGUUCACUUCUUUCCCAUGCUUUUCAUCCUGAAGAUACAUAACUAAAGUUAUUAUAUACAGUUUUGUUUCCAUUAAGAACUACCCGAUGCAUGA